rnacentral:rRNA from 1 species
UUUCAUUAAAGUGGGGGAUCUAAAGACAGCUUGCGGUUAAAGAGAGGCCCAUGGGAUAUCAGAUACUUGGUGCGGUAAAGGCGCACCAGGGCUAAGACGUCUAGGCGGAUUGAGAGAUUGACCCCAACACUGGGACUGAGAACUGCCCAGACUCCUACGGGAGGCUGCAGUCGAGAUCAUUCGCAAUGGGCGAAAGCCUGACGAAGGGACGCCGUGUGAACGAUGACAAAGGCCCUCGGGUCGUAAAGUUCUUUCGCUUGGGAACAAGAGACGCCGGUAAUAUCCGGCCAAUUUGAGGGUACCAGGUUGAAAGAGCACCGGCUAACUCCGUGCCAGGCACACUGCGGUAAUACGGAGGGUGCAAGCAUUAAUCGGGCGAUUUAUAGGUGGGCGUAAAGGGCGGCACGUCCGUAGGCGGAAAGAUAAGUCAGUUGUGAAAUCCCGGGGCUCACCCCGGAACAGCAAUUGAAACUGUCUUUCUAGAGGGUAGGCGGAGAAAACGGAAUUCCACAAGUAGCGGUGAAAUGCGUAGAUAUGUGGAAGAACACCGGUGGCGAAGGCGGUUUUCUAGCUUAUUCCUGACGCUGAGGCGCGAAAGCAAGGGGAUCAAACAGGAUUAGGUGAUACCCUGGAGUCCUUGCCGUAAACUAUGUAUACUUGGUGUAACCGAUCAACCCUGGUUGUGCCGUAGCUAACGCGAUAAGUAUACCGCCUGGGGAGUACGCUCGCAAGGGUGAAACUCAAAAGAAUUGACGGGGACCCGCACAAGCAGUGGAGCAUGUGGUUUAAUUCGAUGCAACGCGAAGAACCUUACCCAGACUUGACAUACAGUGCGUGAAAUUACAGAAUGUUACCCCCCUUCGGGGCCGCUGAACAGGUGCUGCAUGUGGGUGUCAUCAGCUCGUGCCGUGAGGUGUUGGGUUAAGUCCCGCAACGAGCGCAACCCUUAUCAUUAGUUGCCAACACUAACCUAAGGUGGGAACUCUAAUGAGACGCCUGGGUUAACCAGGAGGAGGGUGAGGAUGACGUCAUGUCCGCAUGGCCCUUAUGUGUGGGGCUACACACGUGCUACAUGGUCA